rnacentral:rRNA from 1 species
UACGUAGGGGGCAAGCGUUGUCCGGAUUUAUUGGGCGUAAAGAGCGUGUAGGCGGUUUGGUAGGUCCGCUGUGAAAACUCGAGGCUCAACCUCGAGACGCCGGUGGAAACCAUCAGACUAGAGUCCGGAAGAGGAGAGUGGAAUUCCUGGUGUAGCGGUGAAAUGCGCAGAUAUCAGGAAGAACACCAACGGCGAAGGCAGCUCGCUGGGACGGUACUGACGCUGAGACGCGAAAGCGUGGGGAGCGAACAGG